rnacentral:rRNA from 1 species
UACGUAGGCAGCGAGCGUUGUUCGGAAUUACUGGGCGUAAAGAGUGUGUAGGCGGUGCUCUAAGUUCGGUGUGAAAUCUCCCGGCUUAACUGGGAGGGUGCGCCGGAAACUGGAGUGCUCGAGCGUGGGAGAGGAAAGCGGAAUUCCUGGUGUAGCGGUGAAAUGCGUAGAUAUCUGGAAGAACACCGGUGGCGCAAGCGGCUUGCUGGGCUGUAACUGACACUGAGGAACGAAAGCUAGGGUAGCGAAUGGG